ensembl:lncRNA
CAAAGGCUUAUAUGCUCUGAUGAAACGGCUAUUUUUCUUAGAGGAGCCCUUAAAGGAACAGUUCACCCAAAAAUUAAAAUGAGCUGAUAAUUCACUCACCCUCAGGCCAUCCAAGAUUGGGAUGCAUUUGUUUCUUCAUCAGAUUUGUAGAAAGACCACUUUUUCACUGGAGGAACUGUAUUGUGAUGUUUUUAUCAGCUGUUUGGACUCUCAUUCUGACGGCACCCAUUCACUACAGAGCAUCCAUUGCUGAGACACUGAUGCAAUGCUACAUUUCUACAAAAUCUGACGAAGAAACAAACUCAUCUCAAUCUUGGAUGGCAUGAGGGUACACAUUUCCAGCUCAUUUUCAAUGCCAAGUUUAUGUGAGCUUUUUAAUGUUUCAGAAUGACUUUCCCAGAGUAACAUUUCUUUAAACUGAUCCGUUGCUCUUUGUUUCUCAGAUCAGUGAUCUCCCGAUCGAGGUUAGUGCCUGUAAUUUCAACCCCUGAAUACGAACGAACACACAAACGGUUCUAAAAUGUUGUUUUGCUGUGUUUUAUUCCACAGGAACAGCAUGAGUGAUAAUAUAUCUCUGGUGUUGGGGACCUUCUACAUGCAGCGUGUGGUCCAAUAUGAAAGGAAGCUUCUUAGCCUGGAGGCACGCAAGCAGAGACGCAAACCCGGACGAGCCUCCGCCGGAAGAAGAUGAGCAGGAAACCAAGCAAAUGGCGGAGAGUUUGGACAGGAUUCCAGAUGGAGGGCGCUGCAUCAACUCCAGAGUUUUCCAGGAGUUUAUUCUGGAGGCGAGGUCACUGUGAUGCGUCUAGAGCACUUCCCUUUACUUGGACAAAUAGAGAGGAUGACUGGCUUACUCUGGUGGCUGUUUUUGCUUGGAGGAAGUCCUUGCGUUCUACACACAGAAGCGUGUUUCUUGGGCAGGAAGUGUGGCAGCUGCAGAGUCGAGAGGAACAGCGAUGA